rnacentral:tRNA from 1 species
GCCGAUGUGGUGGAAUUGGCAGACACAGGAGACUUAAAAUCUCCUGCCCCGAACAGGGGCGUACCGGUUCGAGUCCGGUCAUCGGCACCA